AAUUGUUUUCCUAAAUUUACUUUAAUAACAAUGCUUAUUUACGAGAGAUAACUUUUAAAUAAAAUAGAUAACUGCGGUUAUCGACUGAAAUAUCGAUAUUAGAGAGAACCCGUUUAUUAUUUGAGAGAGAGAGAGUAGGAUAAAACUCGUUAGAACCGUUCUUUGAAAAUAACAAAUGGCCGAUGUCUUAAGUUGUCAUCAAACUCGUUGAAGAAAAAUAGAAUUAAAUAAAUGAACGUUAUUCAAGAAAACUAAUAAAUCUUUACCCACAAGUUAUGUUAAAUAAUAAAAUAAAAUUAUCAUCCGACUCACUGUGAAAAAGAAAGGAUUGGAGUUCAAUGUGGUAUCUGGAUUAUGGAUUGUCUCUUGUGUUCGGGGCACUAACUAAUUUUCUGGAUUGUCUACAGGAUUCUUCUUACGGGAAAUUGAACUGUUUGUUCUUCGGAAAUAGGGUCUUGGAUGAUCUCGAAGAAGUAUCGGUAGUUCUUGGAAUAGGUUGUAGGAUGAUUCUCUUUUUAUUUUAAUAUUACAUACAUUGGAGUACACGCCAAAUUUCAACAAUGAGUAAAGUUAGAAAAAUUCAAAUUUAAAUCAAGGAUUUCUUCUUCAAAAUAACGUUAAAACCUCAAAAGAUGGAUGAAAAAUGUGCUUUAGGAGCUGAACUAUAAUAAUUGAUACUUUUGGAAGCAAACAAAACGGUUAAAGGUAAGAUUUUCACCAACAAAAAUCUUUCUGUCACAAUUUCUAGGUUAUGUUCUCUCGGUGAACUAAGAGAAUGUUAAAAUUAUCACAAUACCAUCACAUAGACCAGAAAAUUUUCUAUCGAUCAAAGUUAUAAUGCAGUAAACAUUUAAAGACUGUAAUUAAACACAUACGUAUUCUGUA